AUCUACGGCCAUACCACCCUAAUCCUGGAAGCUAAGCAGGGUUGGGCCUGGCCAAAACUUGAAUGGGAGACUGCCUGUGAAUACUGGCGGCUGUAGGAU
ensembl:rRNA 5S_rRNA 5S ribosomal RNA